rnacentral:rRNA from 1 species
CGGCGUGCCUAACACAUGCAAGUCGAACGGAGUUAAGGAAGCUUGCUUUUUUAACUAGUGGCGGACGGGUGAGUAACGCGUGAGUAACCUGCCUUUCAGAGGGGAAUAACGUUCUGAAAAGAACGCUAAUACCGCAUAACGUUACGGAAUCGCAUGGUUCUGUAACCAAAGAUUUAUUGCGCAAGGAUGGGCUCGCGUUGGAUUAGAUAGUUGGUGAGGUAACGGCCCACCAUGGCGACGAUCAGUAGCCGGUCUGAGAGGAUGAACGGCCACAUUGGGACUGAGACACGGCCCAGACUCCUACGGGAGGCAGCAGUGGGGAAUAUUGCGCAAUGGGGGAAACCCUGACGCAGCAACGCCGCGUGAAGGAUGAAGGCCUUCGGGUUGUAAACUUUUUGAUCGGGGACGAAUAAUGACGGUACCCGAAAAACAAGUCACGGCUAACUACGUG